rnacentral:rRNA from 1 species
AGAGUUUGAUCCUGGCUCAGAGUGAACGCUGGCGGCAUGGUUAAGACAUGCAAGUCGAACGAGAAGCAGGACUUCGGUCCUGUGGACAGUGGCGAACGGGUGCGUAACACGUGAGCAACCUGCCCCUAAGUACGGAAUAGCCCACCGAAAGGUGGAUUAAUACCGCAUGUGACCCUUUAUCGCAUGGUAGAGUGGUUAAAGCUUGUAAUGGCGCUUAGGGAUGGGCUCGCGGCCUAUCAGCUUGUUGGUGAGGUAACGGCUCACCAAGGCUAAGACGGGUAGCUGGUCUGAGAGGAUGAUCAGCCACACCGGGACUGAGACACGGCCCGGACACCUACGGGUGGCAGCAGUUUCGAAUCAUUCACAAUGGGCGAAAGCCUGAUGAUGCAAUGCCGCGUGGAGGAUGACGGCCCUAGGGUUGUAAACUCCUGUCAUUAGGGAACAACAAGUAGGUUCAUAGCCUACCCUGAGUUAACCUAAAGAGGAAGAGGUGGCUAACUCCGUGCCAGCAGCCGCGGUAAUACGGAGACCUCGAGCGUUACUCGGAUUUACUGGGCGUAAAGGGUGAGCAGGCGGCCAGGUGUGUUAGGUGUGAAAUCCCGGGGCUCAACCCCGGAACUGCGCCUAAAACUACCUGGCUAGAGUAUCGGAGAGGACAGUGGAAUUCCAGGUGUAGCGGUGAAAUGCGUAGAUAUCUGGAGGAACACCAGUGGCGAAGGCGACUGUCUGGACGAUUACUGACGCUCAAUCACGAAAGCGUGGGUAGCGAAAGGGAUUAGAUACCCCUGUAGUCCACGCCGUAAACGUUGUGCACUAAGUUUCGGAGGAUUCGACCCCUUCGGAGCUCAAGCUAACGCGUUAAGUGCACCGCCUGAGGACUACGGCCGCAAGGCUAAAACUCAU